rnacentral:rRNA from 1 species
GGGACCCGUCUUGAAACACGGACCAAGGAGUCUAGCAUGUGCGCGAGUCAUUGGGAUAUUGACUAAACCUAAAGGCGCAAUGAAAGUGAAGGUCCGCCUUGCGCGGACCGAGGGAAGAUGGGCGGUCUCGAGGGACCGUCUCGCAUUCCCGGGGCGUCUCGUUCUCAUCGCGAGAAGAGGCGCACCCAGAGCGUACACGCUGGGACCCGAAAGAUGGUGAACUAUGCCUGGUCAGGACGAAGUCAGGGGAAACCCUGAUGGAGGUCCGUAGCGAUUCUGACGUGCAAAUCGAUCGUCGGAACUGGGUAUAGGGGCGAAAGACUAAUCGAACCAUCUAGUAGCUGGUUCCCUCCGAAGUUUCCCUCAGGAUAGCUGGCGCUCGCUUUUCGCGAGUCUCAUUCGGUAAAGCGAAUGAUUAGAGGCAUUGGGGUCGAAACGGCCUCAACCUAUUCUCAAACUUUAAAUGGGUGAGAUCUCCGGCUUGCUUGAACUGUGAAGCCGCGAGAUAUCGGAUCAGAGUGCCAAGUGGGCCACUUUUGGUAAGCAGAACUGGCGCUGUGGGAUGAACCAAACGCCGAGUUAAAGCGCCUAAAUCGACGCUUAUGGGAUACCAUGAAAGGCGUUGGUAACUUAAGACAGCAGGACGGUGGCCAUGGAAGUCGGAAUCCGCUAAGGAGUGUGUAAA